CUGACAGCCAUAGAGAUUGAAGGUCUUAAUUAUCCACAGAAGAGGUACAGCACGGAAAGCACCAACCCAAGUUCCUCUUCACUAAACCACUUUCUUUAUCCCCUGAUCUGGACUGAGCCUCUCUAGGGAUUAGAGGGCAGUUCAGUCUUUGUGCUUAUUCAAUCUUUGGCCUCU
rnacentral:sRNA from 1 species